AAGUGAAUUCGAGCUCGACCUAAAAUUCAGAUUUCCCCAUCCAUGUGAAAACCUUAUCUCUCCCUUCUUGAAACCUCUUGAGCUCUUCUCUCUCCUUCCUUGAAACCCUAUAUGAAACACUCUCUUUCUCUCCUUUCUACUCCUCAUACGUGCCUACCAGCCACUGACGCCAUGGACGCCGCGAUGCCAUCAACACAGCGACGCCAUCAACACAGCGACGGCGUCGACGCCAUCGUCUUCUUCGCAUCAGUCAUCACCAGCCGCCAUCGAUGCCAUCUUCAUCCCAGACUUCGUUGACACUUGCAAACUGAUGUCGUGAGGUCAACGCCACCACCAAGAAGACAUACAACCUCUUCGACAGAAAAGAAAUCAGAGAGACAGAGGUGAAGAGGUGACGGUCAUCGUCUGUCUCUCGAUGGCUCUCUCUUGCCGGAGCUCUCUUUCUUGUUGUCUCUCUCUAGCUCACUCGAUCUCUCUUGUUGGCUGGCUCCAUGAGAGCCUCCCUUCCUCCAUUCCACAGAAAAGGCCUUAUCUUCUCAAAGCUGAAAGACUUUAACCAUGGUACCCUCCAUCUUCUCUCUACUGCUCCUCUACCCCUGCAUUGGUAUUCUCCAAAUUCCACAGUCCUGUAAAUGCAAAGUUUUGAUGAGCUUCAAUACUGUUCAAUUUCAUUUGUACUUAAUUGAUGUGUGACAUCGUUGAAAUGGGUUUAUCCACCACUGUCUCUACAUAAAGUUUUUAAGUUUGUUUAGAUUAUUAAGAAUUCAUAUUUUUCUUGUUAUAUUUCUUUAGCAUGCUGGAUUGACACUUCUAUAUUGAUAGUUUGCACUUAUCUGGUCCGCGCUGUGAAGGACAAGAGGCUCCAGGUUAAGGGACCCGUGAGAAUGCCAACCAAGGUUCCGCACAUUACCACCAGGAAGUCCCAUUGUGGUGAACGUAUGUUUCAUUGUGAAAUGUUCCUGUUGUUAACUUAUGGCUUGAUGCUUUAUGGGCAAGGCAAGGCUUAUGGCUUUUAUGGCCAUUUACUCAGAGUUGGGAGUUCUCUUGUUUGUGCCAAGUUACAUAAGUAAAAUUUGUUGCUUAUUGUGGCCUAUUCAUGAUUGACCAGUUAUUGAAGCAAAGUGUCUCUGCAUUUGCAUUUUAAAGGGUUAUGUAUCUUUAAAAUUUUGUUUGUGAUUUACAGGUACCAACACAUGGGACAAAUUUUGUUUUCGUUAAAGCUUAUAACUUCUAUCUGCUUGGUUGUGAGAAUUUGAAAGGCUUCUCCUUAAUUUAAUUCUUUGUACAGAAAACAUUUUCCUACGCCAAGGAAGUGGUUCUAAUGAAGCUACUGCUAGAGCUGGGGAAGUAGUGUUAGUUCAACCUGCAAUUAAAUGCAGGGGGAAAGUGGUGAUGAUGAAGGUAUAGCUCUGUAUACAUAUGGAGAACUUGACUAGAAGGAUAAUUAGGUAUAGGAAUUUUGGUGUAUUAUUGUAAUUAGGCUUGCCACUUGUAGCUAGUGGCCCUAGAGUACUUUCAUUUUUUAGAUUUUAUUUUGUUCUAUUGUACUCUUGAUAUUCUAUUUA